AGAUUGAACGCUAGCGGGAUGCUUUACACAUGCAAGUCGAACGGCAGCGCGGACUUCGGUCUGGCGGCGAGUGGCGAACGGGUGAGUAAUAUAUCGGAACGUGCCCAGUAGCGGGGGAUAACUACGCGAAAGCGUGGCUAAUACCGCAUACGCCCUACGGGGGAAAGGGGGGGAUUCUUCGGAACCUCUCACUAUUGGAGCGGCCGAUAUCAGAUUAGCUAGUUGGUGAGGUAAAGGCUCACCAAGGCGACGAUCUGAAGCUGGUUUGAGAGGACGACCAGCCACACUGGGACUGAGACACGGCCCAGACUCCUACGGGAGGCAGCAGUGGGGAAUUUUGGACAAUGGGGGAAACCCUGAUCCAGCCAUCCCGCGUGUGCGAUGAAGGCC
rnacentral:rRNA from 1 species